UUUAAUUCGAAGCUACGCGAAGAACCUUACCAGGUCUUGACAUCCCUCUGACCGCCUUAGAGAUAAGGCUUUCCCUUCGGGGACAGAGGUGACAGGUGGUGCAUGGUUGUCGUCAGCUCGUGUCGUGAGAUGUUGGGUUAAGUCCCGUAACGAGCGCAACCCUUGAUAUUAGUUGCCAGCAUUUAGUUGGGCACUCUAAUGUGACUGCCGGUGACAAACCGGAGGAAGGUGGGGAUGACGUCAAAUCAUCAUGCCCCUUAUGACCUGGGCUACACACGUGCUACAAUGGAUGGUACAACGGGCAGCGAAACCGCGAGGUGGAGCAAAUCCCAUAAAACCAUUCUCAGUUCGGAUUGUAGGCUGCAACUCGCCUACAUGAAGCAGGAAUCGCUAGUAAUCGCGGAUCAGCAUGCCG
rnacentral:rRNA from 1 species